rnacentral:rRNA from 1 species
GUAGGGAAUCUUGCGCAAUGGGCGAAAGCCUGACGCAGCCAUGCCGCGUGAAUGAUGAAGGUCUUAGGAUUGUAAAAUUCUUUCACCGGGGACGAUAAUGACGGUACCCGGAGAAGAAGCUCCGGCUAACUUCGUGCCAGCAGCCGCGGUAAUACGAAGGGGGCUAGCGUUGCUCGGAAUUACUGGGCGUAAAGGGCGCGUAGGCGGAUAUUUAAGUCGGGGGUGAAAGCCCGGGGCUCAACCUCGGAAUAGCCUUCGAUACUGGAUAUCUUGAGUACGGGAGAGGUGUGUGGAACUCCGAGUGUAGAGGUGAAAUUCGUAGAUAUUCGGAAGAACGCCAGUGGCGAAGGCGACACACUGGCCCGUUACUGACGCUGAGGCGCGAAAGCGUGGGGAGCAAACAGGAUUAGAAACCCCGGUAGUCC